CUGCAGAAAGCCAGUCUUACAUGACCCUGUACAACCUCCUGGACUUUCCCGCGGGCGUGGUGCCUGUCAGGACGAGGGGGAACUGGCCUUCUACAAGGGGUACUACGGAGAUAGUUCUGACAAAAAUUUCUUGGAGGUGUACCCACCCCAAUGUGUGCCACCCUGAGGAGCCCCUGGCAGGAUCAAGACUCAGGGUCCUCACUGUGGGCCUCUGCAGCUUGUGGA
rnacentral:lncRNA from 1 species